rnacentral:misc_RNA from 1 species
UUUUUUUUUUUUUUAUUCCCAAUUUAAGCAUAUAAAGCAAGAUAUCAUUCGAACAAAUGCAAAUUUGGCUCUGUUAUUAAUCCCAUCAGGACAAAUUUCUUUUUCCUCAAUGCAUCUUUCCUGACAUCAACACAGCACUAUAAUUUAAUUAUGGGAAAAAAAUUUCUUUAAAAAUACUGGAAGUUGUAAAUCUACAAGUUUGUAUAUCUAUAAAUAUUCCCAUGCAACAAAACAGUAUUCUUAAUUAUUUGUUUGUAAAUUCCCGCAGCUAUCCUUCUUUCUCUACUAUUUCACUCUCUUUUAUUCUACAGAUUAGCUCUAGGACAACAAAAAUAUGGGCUUGGGUAAAUAAUAUUCUUCGACAUUUUCCACAACAGAAAAAGUUCGCCUUCCAUCCUUCUCUCUUGCCCACCACUCUUCCUCUAUUGUUAGGGAUGAGUAAAUGCAUUUGCCUUCACCAGCUUAACAAACCACCGCCUUGCCCCACCACCAAUUCCACAAACA